rnacentral:rRNA from 1 species
GGGCCCGCACAAGCGGUGGAGCAUGUGGUUUAAUUCGAUGAUACGCGAGGAACCUUACCAGGGCUUAAAUGCAGAGCGACAGAGGUGGAAACACCUCCUUCUUCGGACGGUCUGCAAGGUGCUGCAUGGUUGUCGUCAGCUCGUGCUGUGAAGUGUCGGGUUAAGUCCCAUAACGAGCGCAACCCCUAUUUCUAGUUGCCAGCGGUUCGGCCGGGGACUCUAGAGAAACUGCCAGCGUAAGCUGUGAGGAAGGUGGGGAUGACGUCAAAUCAUCACGGCCCUUACGUCCUGGGCCACACACGUGCUACAAUGGUAGGUACAGAGGGAAGCCACCCCGCGAGGGGGAGCGGAUCUACAAAACCUAUCUCAGUUCGGAUCGGAGUCUGCAACUCGACUCCGUGAAGCUGGAAUC